rnacentral:rRNA from 1 species
GACGAACGCUGGCGGCGUGCUUAACACAUGCAAGUCGAACGGAAAGGCCCCCACUUUUUUGGUGGGGGUGCUCGAGUGGCGAACGGGUGAGUAACACGUGGGUGAUCUGCCCUGUACUUCGGGAUAAGCUUGGGAAACUGGGUCUAAUACCGGAUAGGACCAUGGUUUAGUGUCUCAUGGUGGAAAAAUUAUUGUUUUGGUGCAGGAUGAGCUCGCGGCCUAUCAGCUUGUUGGUGGGGUAAUGGCCUACCAAGGCGUCGACGGGUAGCCGGCCUGAGAGGGUGGACGGCCACAUUGGGACUGAGAGACGGCCCAGACUCCGACGGGAGGCAGCAGUGGGGAAUAUUGCACAAUGGGCGCAAGCCUGAUGCAGCGACGCCGCGUGGGGGAUGACGGCCUUCGGGUGGUAAACUCCUUUCGUUAGGGACGAAGCCGCACCUUUUUUGGGUGUGGUGACGGUACCUUUGUUAAGAAGCACCGGCUAACUACGUG